GCUUCGUGUAGCCCAGGAGCGAGGCGCCCGAGCCGUACUCGCGGACCUGCGUGGUCUCGCACUGCGACUGCAGGUCGUGCUCGCACAUGAAGCA
rnacentral:tRNA from 1 species